rnacentral:ncRNA from 1 species
AUUCAAGCGUAGAAGAGGAGAGUAAACAAAUUACGGACUCUACAGAGAAGCUUCGUUUGGUGAGAGAAGCGAGAAUGGGUUUGUUGAAGAUGGCCUCGGAGUUUUGCACCGAGAUGUGUUCAUUUAGGCUGCAACGUGUGCGCACGUUAUAGCGCAGAGGUAUGAUGGUACCUUGUGAGUUUUUUGUCGUGAGGCAAAAAUAAAAUUGGGUGGUAACACGUGAGCAGCAGCUUUCGUCCCAUAG